CAUCUUGAAAUUUGGGCGGUGGAGCUGCAGUAUGGAAGUCCCGCCCAUUCACCCGCACGACCAAUCGCGAUUCAAUCCCAGCUGUCAAUCAGGGCAUC